rnacentral:rRNA from 1 species
GCAGUCGAGCGCCCGCCGGGACUUCGGUCCCGGGGACAGCUGAGUACGGCUGAGUAACAUGUGCUUCAUCUGCCAUCAAUUCUGGAUCUUGGGGGAAACCCGGAUUAAUACCGGAUAGCCUUUUUUAUCUUCGGACGAUUGGCCCACGUAGCAUUAGCCUCCGAGCGAGGUAAAGCCCCCGGUGGAUUAUCUUGUUGGUGGGGUAAUGGACCACCAUCGCCCACAUCCAUACUGAGACUGAGCCGACAAUCCUCCACGAUGGGACUGAGACAAAUAUUGGACUCCGGGGGGAGGCAUGAUUGGGGAAUCUUGCGUGAUGGGCGAAAGCCUGACGGUUGUACGCCUCUUGGGGGAAGAACGACUUAGGGUUUACCCCCUCUUUAAGGUGGGACUAACUUCCUCCCGUUAACCGCCCAAAUGGUGACGGGGCUACCGUAGCACGCCCCCGCUGGGUACAUGCCGCCCGCCGGCGGGUUACUGAGGGGGGGGUGAAUUCCCGGAUUUAUUGUCCGUAACUACCUUGUAUGCUGGCGAUCUUGUGGGUUGGGAAAGGUGGGUGCUCCUGCUUCUGACGAGGUGAAAUUCCCCUGGUUCGAGUCCAGACCAGUGGAGUGGAGUUCCUGGUGUAGCGGUGAAAUGCGCUGAUGUGAGGAAGAACGCGCAUGGAACAGGAUUCUCUACUGGUGACUGGUCCUGACCUAAGACGAUGAAUGCUGGGGAUCGGAACAGCUUGACAGUCCCUGGCACUCCUCGCCCGUUAACGAUCGCGCUGGGGGGGGGGGCGGGUCGUCAACAUC